rnacentral:RNase_P_RNA from 1 species
GCAGCAUAGAGGAGUGUUCCUGAAAUAUAUGUUGAGUGCUCGGAGGAAAGUCCGAGCUCCACAGGAUACCAUGCUGGGUAACACCCAGGCCCCGGCCAUUUCGGGAGAAGACGGGGACGGAAAGUGCCACAGAAAAUAAACCGCCGAGCACUCAACCCAUAACGGCUCUUUUUAAUGAUACUUGACCGGCCGUUAUAGGUUGAGCGCUCGGUAAGGGUGAAACGGCGGGGUAAGAGCCCACCGCGUCGCUGGAGACAGGGACGGCACGGCAAACCCCAUGGGGAGCAAGGCCAAGCACCGAGCACUCACCGCCGGAAACGGCGGUGGAGGGUGUUGUCCGCAUCUAUUGCUGUUGGCUGGGCUUCGUGCCUUUGCCGCAGUGAGUGCUCGGGGGUAGGUCGCUAGAGGCAGCCGGCAACGGCUGUCCCAGAUGAAUGGCCGUCGCCGAGCACUCAACCCAUAACGGCUCUUUUUAAUGAUACUUGACCGGCCGUUAUGUGUUGAGUGCUCGGCACAGAACUCGGCUUACAGGCCUGCGCAU